AUGCUUAAGUCAGCGAGAGGCAAAACAUCUAAAUCCUCAGGUGGGCCUAUGGAAAAAUUCUGCCAACUAUCACCUGAAGAUGCUAUAGCUGCAAGGAAGGCAAAAUCUAGUGAGAGCAUUCAAUUAAAGCUGACAACUGGGGAGAGAUUGAAGAAAAGGAACCGUGCUUGUGAGUACAUAUGCCAGUUCUUCUAUGAAGCAUGCAUUCCCUUCAAUUCAGUCACACUUCCAAGCUUUUCCCUUAUGCUUCAGUCAAUUGGACAAUACGGCGAAGACUUGCCAGGUCCUAGUCCUUAUGAAAUGGGUGGCCCAUUCUUGAAGAAGAGGAAGAAGAAAGUGAUGGAAUCCUUCAAGGCUCACAAGGAAGCUUGGGAGCUCACUGGAUGUACAAUCAUGACAGAUGCGUGGACCGACAUAAGAGGAAGAGGGGUAAUGAAUUUGGUAGUCCACAGUGCAUAUGGUGUGGUUUUUCUCGAUUCUUUUGAUUGUUCAGCUGUGAAGAAAGAUGGCAAGUACAUCUUUGACCUUGUAGAUGAUUGCAUUGAAGAGAUUGGGGAGAAACAUGUAGUUCAAGUGGUGACUGAUAAUGCAAGUGUGAAUCAAGCAGCAUCUACAUUGUUGAAUGCAAAGCGGCCCAACAUAUUCUGGAAUGGUUGUGCUGCCCAUUGUAUUGAUUUGAUGCUAGAGGACGUCGGUAAGCUGCCAUCAGUUGACUCCACUAUUACAAAAGCUAGAGCUGUGACAGUUUUCCUUUAUGCACACACAAGGGUUUUGAGCCUAAUGAGGGAGUUCCUUGGGAAAGUUCUGGUUAGGUCCGGUAUUACUAGGUUUUCUACAGCAUACUUAAACUUGAAGAGCAUGUUGGAUAACAAGAAGCAACUCCAGAAGCUAUUUAGAUCAGAUCAACUUGAUGAAAUGGGCUAUCUAAAAAAGGUUAAAGGAAGGGAAGCCAACAAAACUGUGCGCUCUGAAUUUUUUUGGAGAGGAGUAGAUAUUGUCGUGAAGUUCUUUGAACCAUUGGCUAACUUGCUAAGGAGAAUGGACAUCGAUGUACCAGCUAUGGGAUUCAUAUACGGCGCCUUUUUGGAUGCAAAGAAAGAGAUCUCAGCCAAGUUUGAAAAUGAACAACAAGAAUCUUGUUUUCAAGAAGUGUUGGAUAUAGUGGAUAAAAGAUGGGACAACAAAUUGAAGAGGCCACUACAUAGGGCUGGAUACUUCUUAAAUCCAUACUACUUUUAUGAAAACAAGCUACAAAUUUUGUUGGAUCCAACAUUUAAAGAUGGGGUUGUCAGUUGCAUGGGAAAAAUGGUGGAAGAUGUUCGCCUUCAAGACAAAAUCACAGAUGAACUUAAGGCAUAUCAAGGUGAAGAGGGGUCAUUUGGAAGAGACAUUGCUAAAAGGCAGCGGAAAAACAAAAACUUUGAUCCAGUUGAUUGGUGGUCCAAUCAUGGGUCAAGUGCACCAAAUCUCAGGGUAUUGGCGAUGCGGAUUUUGAGUUUGACAUGCAGCUCCUCGGCUUGUGAGAGGAAUUUUAGUGUUUUUCAGCAGGUCAGAAAGAUGCAUGCCAUAUGUCAACUUGUUUAUUGUCACAUUAGAAGGACAACCCAGUAUCUUUGCCAUACUUUUCUUGCAUUUGUUUACUUGUUUUUUCAUACUAAGAAAUCAAUGCUCUAA
rnacentral:rRNA from 1 species